UACGGAAGGGGCGAGCGUUGUUCGGAAUCAUUGGGCGUAAAGGGCGCGUAGGUGGUUCUGUAUGUCUGCCGUGAAAGCGUACGGCUCAACCGUAUUGUGUCGGUAGAAACUGCAGGACUUGAGGCUGGGAGGGGCUGGUGGAAUUCCCUGUGUAGCGGUGAAAUGCGUAGAGAUGGGGGAGAACACUCGUGGCGAAGGCGGCCAGCUAGACCAGUUCUGACACUGAGGCGCGACAGCGUGGGGAGCAAACAGG
rnacentral:rRNA from 1 species